AGGUGCGAUCAUACCAGCAGUAGUGCACUGGAUCCCAUCAGAACCCUGCAGCUAAGAAUGGUUGGGCGAGAGUAGUACUAGGAUGGGUGACCUCCCGGGAAGUCCUCGUGUUGCACCUC